rnacentral:rRNA from 1 species
CGCGUAGGCGGUCUCUUAAGUCAGAUGUGAAAGCCCGGGGCUUAACCUCGGAAGUGCAUUUGAAACUAAGGGACUUGAGUAUGGGAGAGGGAAGUGGAAUUUCUGGUGUAGCGGUGAAAUGCGUAGAUAUCAGGAGGAACACCGGUGGCGAAGGCGACUUCCUGGACCAAUACUGACGCUGAGGCGCGAAGGCGUAGGGAGCAAACAGGAUUAGAUACCCUGGUAGUCC